AACGUAGGGGGCGAGCGUUAAUCGGAAUUACUGGGCGUAAAGCGUGCGCAGGCGGUUUGUUAAGCGAGAUGUGAAAGCCCCGGGCUCAACCUAGGAAUUGCGCUUGUGACUGGCGGGCUCGAGUACGGUAGAGGGGGGUGGAAUUCCUGGUGUAGCAGUGAAAUGCGUAGAGAUCAGGAGGAACACCGAUGGCGAAGGCAGCCCCCUGGGCCUGUACUGACGCUCAUGCACGAAAGCGUGGGGAGCAAACAGG
rnacentral:rRNA from 1 species